AAAAAGGGGAAAGAGCGCUAGCCCCACGCCCCACCAGCCCCAGAUUCGUUCCACAUCCCCCGGUUCCUUGCCCUCUCCCUCUCUCUGGACGACCUCCCCCGCCGCCGCCGCCACCACGUCUUCUCUUCUCCCCUCACCUCUCCCCAUCCACCAGCGACCUCCUCCUGUUCCCCUCCCGCAGAUUGAGCAGCAGGCUGCGAGGGCACGUCGUGGCAGGAGGUGGAGCAGAGCGGAUCUGCGGGUCGUCGCCGUUCUUCCGCUCGAGGCCACCCUCGUCCACGUACUUCUCGCCACCAUGCGUGGACGCCGGUGAGGCCACCCUUCCCUCCACACACAGGUACUCCCCCGCCCCCUUCCAUGCCCUCUACCUUUCCCUAAUUUAGCUCUCUUCCCUGACCAUGUCUAUCUUCUACACAUAGAGAGCUGUGGUGGCUGGACACCAGGGUACCAAAUUGGAGGCUAAAUAAGCAUAUAUGUCCAAUUCUCAGACUAGAUUUUAAUGAAGGAAGUUGCAGUUCAUUACACUGCAAAUUAUGAAUAUGGAUCCAUCCUUCUGUGCUAAUGAAGGGGUGGAUGUAAUAAGGCUGCUGGCAAUGCAUGGAUGCUUAGAUGAGGUGCUAAGCACAUUAAAUAGCUUAGCAACUAUACUCCCCAAUGCAUAGGUGCUUAGCUUAUGGUUGCUAAGCUUGCUUCAUUUAAUGAUUUAACAACUAAAGCUCUUCAUGUAUUGGUGGGCUCCAUUCUUUUAAAUAUUUUGCCUAGGUUCACGUGCUUAGCAUUGGUUCUUCCUGAGGUCACCACACCCAUCUCUCCCCUCUUAAAUAACUUGCCACAUCAGAUUUUUUGCCUACGUGGAAGGCUUAGCACCUGUACAAGGUGGAGCAUUGGGAGGGGCCUAAGAAUUGUAUGUGACAAACGGGUGCUUCCUAUAGGUAUUCUUUCUUGCAUCCUAAUGUAUAGUAUACCUACCUUUUACGACCGCGGAAUCUUUUUCCAUGACUAGAUUGGCUCUCUCACUUUUCUCCUGUCCAUGCUUUUCCAAAUAUUUCACAUCUGAUGUUCUGCUUCCGCUUGUCUAUAUCACGGUGCGCACUGCCCAUGGAGCUUCAGAUGAACCAGUUUACUUUUAGCGGUGCAUUCCACAAUAGCGGCUCUCACAUUUUUUUCACAUGUUUUAAAAUAUGCAUAUUUUGAUGUACUGGUUGCAGUAACAGAGCUGAAUCACUCGUUGUAUGCUACUUCAUAUUUGCAUAUCCCCUUUCUUACAAGCUACCAUAGGGGCGUGCAUCAUGCUAUAAGUUUAUACUACAAUAAUUACUCCCAGAUUGAAUUUUGUGUCCACUAUAGAAUCUUCAAAAAAGAAGUCUAAGAAAAACUAAACGGUCAUCUUAAUGGGACUUAAUAUAUCCAAAAAGCGCAUGACUCAAGUUCCAUUACUUACAUUUAACAUCUCACUUGCUGCACUCAUCUUCUGUUUAGCUCUGCUUUUCCAUCUAGCUUCACUUAGCAUUUUAUUCUGAUCGCAAUCUAUGCUGUUCAAGCAUGAUUAUCUCCUACAUAAACAUGCUCCAUUACAUGCUUUUACAAAACUGAAUCAAAAUAAACUAACUUCAUUUAAGAAAUUGUUUUCACACUGACAGGAGACAUGUAACUCAGAGCAUUUCAUUUCCAUCCACUGCUCUGUAUCUUCGCCUUUCAUGUUACAAUUAAAUUCAUCCACUGCAGUAUUAACUAUUUUCCCUUACCACAGAAAAGAAAUGGCAAGGAAACAGAGGGCGCAGGACUACUAGAGGCAAAGACAGACGGACGCGGUCGGAGCAGUAUGGCAGCGUCGAUGGGGAUGGAGGAGCGCACAGAGAUGCUGCGGAGCACUGCUGAUGAGCUUGUCGGCAGGACGAGCUGCACUCACUGCUGCACGGCAACCCCGGCCCGGUCUGCUUCGACAGGUUUGAGCCCUCCGUCACCGACCGCGUGCACAUCUAGCAGGGUGUUGGGAAGGUGAUCAAUGUGAACAAGAUGGUCAGGGCCAGAUAUAGAGUAAAAAUCCUAAUAGCGGACCAGAGGACCGGAGUGAAGGACUCGGCAAGAUAAGGACGUCGGUCGCCAAUUCACUGUGAUUGAGAUCCGCGUCGUAACCAGAGAGCAGUUGGACCAUGACAAGGACGUCGCCAUCGGCUAAUCCGCCAUGUGGGAUUAUUGUUUGACCUUUCACAGUUCCUCCAGGUGUCCAUAACAUCAAGCAUAAUUUUGAUGUUUCUUAACCUUUUGCAUUCUACUCUAAUCAUGUGUGCUGACAGAUUAAUCUAAAGCAUCAAGAUCUGUAAGUGCUCGUGGGUCCUCAAGGUGCUGGUUCGUGAGCUCAGUUUGUUUGGGACAUCGAAGGUUAUCUUGGGCGAUGUGCAUCAACAAAGAAGUUUACAAUUGCAAUGAGAUUGUUUUGAGGACAAAUCUACCGACCGAGGAGCACGCUAGCCAGGUAUACACAGGAGAAGUGUAUGAACUGUCUGUGCAAACCAUAUGUGAAUCUGAACCCUUCUUAGUGGAGGCAGUAAUUGCCAACUUGAAAUACAUAGCACCGCAUCCCAACAGUAAAACCAGGGAAAAAUGAUCUAGGUUGGAAUAUGGGGUCAAUGCUAGAGAAGACGGUGAAGCAUUCAUGUGCAUGUGCAAGGAGCAGGAGAUCCUGUGUUGCCAUGCCGUCAAGGUGAUGAUCCACCUGGGUGUGCGUGAGAUACCAAGGUUACAUGUUGUGCCACCAAGUUGCCACAGAGCCCUGGUGAAUCGCAGAUGGAUAGUGAGCUAUGAAAGCACUCCGUGAUGCAUGUUAAGUUCUGAGACCUGGCGCAUGACCCUUGUGAUGAUGAAGGGUCCUGGGCCUACAAAGUUGUCAUGAAGGGCCUCGACAGACUGAACCCAGACCUAGCCGCGCCAAACGCCGUGCCCCGCCGCUACAACAAGCCAACAUUACGGUAGCCGAGGAUCCUCAUUUAUUCCAAAAGGUGCCGAAUAUGGUUGACUAACUCCAGUCCAUGAGGAAGUAAAGGACAUAUAUUCAACUUACUAUGUCUAUUACGAACAGAGUUCCCUGGAAAUGUGUCAAAACAAAUAGCUGAUAACCAGCAAUUUUCCACCAAUGGAAGCCCCGUGUGAUUUAGGUACCAUUUGCUCUCUUGGAUUUUGUUAUUUAGCCAUGUCAUGUUAAAUAUUACGCGGCUUGCUAAUGUUAUAUAUUUAGUCGCUUAUAUGAUGUCUGUUUGGUCGUUGCUCUAGCCUCAGACCCAAGAAAUUUGUUUGUUUGUCCAUUUGACCAAAAUAAUCUGUGUUGCUUUAAAGUCCAGUAAACAAAGAAACAACUUCGAUGCAUGUAUAUGCCUUUCAGUUUCACUUGCAUCCAAUAAAUAUAAUUAUGACACUUGUUGUCUUGCUGUGUUGUUCAAUUAUCGCCAGGAUGUUAACAAGCCCAUUAUAUAUCCUUGGUAAACCACAUGAUACUGUUUCCUAAUCACAUGUUUUUCCUACACAAACUAUACGAGUUUUAUGCAAAGGUAUCAUCUAAAAGGAAUUAUGGGCUUCAUAUAUGCUCCAGUAUCAUAGUAUUUUUCCAUGGUUCAUGGCAAUAAUUUCUCUACUUGGGAUUCCAUAGAAUUCUUUUGGUCUGCAUAGUUUUGUUUUUACAGUUGAAAAAAACUAAUAAAUUAACAAGACCUUUUAUGCAUAAUUAUGUUGCCAUGAUAUGCAUAAUUAUGGUAGUUAGCAUAGUGACUUUGACACUUUUUAGAUAUGCUCCAACCUUGAGUUUACUCAAUCUCGCAUUAGCCUAUUGUGUUUGAAAUUUGCUUACAUGAAAACAGAUGUUGAAUUUUCCUUUGAUUUAUCAUUUGUCAGUUUUUAUCUUUUUGAUAUUUGCAUGGGAUGGAUUUGAACUUCACUCUUGCUAAAGCCCUGUAUGCGAGUUUGUUUGAGUUACUUGUAGAACAAAUUAACAAGGCCUUCUUAGUUGGCAAGCGUCGAGUUGGGUGGUCAAUCAGUUUCCCCCUGCAUCUGCGAAGUGGCAGAAGAAGGCUACGAUGGAUGUGCUCAGGGCGUUGCCAUCUCCAUCCCCGCACCAUCUUUGUCACAUGCAGCAUCUGACUUACCUCCUCAAGGCAGGAGUGGCUCUUCAAGGAGAAUGAGAUUGAGGAUGGAGGCACUGAACCCGCAUGCAUGAUGACGAUGCAUAAAAGUCACGUCGGCGGCUCCUGCGGGUUGACGUUGGCCGCCAACAAUGACGAGGUCGGCGGCUUUGAUGUGGGGGUCAUCGACCUUACCUCUGACGGGAAUUAGUAAUCUUUUUCUUUGGUUUUUAGUUAUUAUUAUGCUCGGUGUCCCGCUUCUGCGUUGUAAAAAUAAAGUGGGAAUUAGUAAUCUUUUUCUUUGGUUUUUAGUUAUUAUUAUGCUCGGUGUCCCGCUUCUGCGUUGUAAAAAUAAAGUGCGUGUCCACUUUGAUAAAUACGGAUGUCCACGGACUUAGUUGGUGGUAUCAGUUUGGUGAUCCA